AUGUUAAAUGGGUCUCUUGAUGGUCAUCUAUUUAAGAAGAGAAAUGAUGCCACCGCUGUCCUAAAUUGGAACACUAGAUAUCAAAUAGCCCUAGGAUUGUCCUACUUACAUCAGAGUUGUCACAAAUGCAUCAUACAUUGUGACAUUAAGCCAGGAAACAUACUAUUGGACGCAUCAUUUGCUCCCAAAGUUGCAGACUUUGGGUUGGCGGCGUUUGUGGGAAGGGAUUUUAGCCGAGUUUUGACUACGAUCAGGGGCACUGCGGGUUAUCUUGCCCCGGAGUGGCUUAGUGGAGUUGCAAUCACACCGAAGAUCGACGUUUACAGCUUCGGCAUGGUACUGCUGGAAAUCAUAUCAGGAAGUAGGAAUUCCUCACUUGAAACAUCAUACUACACUAGCAGCAGCAGUUACCACAAUGUCGAGUAUUUCCCUGUACAAGCCAUCAGCAAGCUUCACGGUGGAGAUGUGAAGAGUUUGGUGGAUCCAGAAUUACAUGAUGACUUCAAUUUGGAAGAGGCUGAAAGAGUUUGUAAAGUUGCUUGUUGCUGCAUCCAAGAUAAUGAGUUUGAUCGGCCGACUAUGGGUGAAGUGGUCCGGGUUCUCGAGGGUCUACAGAAGAUUGAUAUGCCCCCCAUGCUAAGGCUACUUGCAGCUCUGACAGAACACUGA
rnacentral:rRNA from 1 species